UCAAACACGGUUGCAUCAGCUUCACCCAGUUAUCCCAGCUAAGGAGCCGGCUGCUUAUGGUCCGACCUGCAGAGGAACAAACUGACAGCAUCCACCUCUGGCCUACUGCGAGGAGAGGAAAAACAAUUACAGGCAGAGGACUCUCCAUCUGCUGUGGUGACCUGUAUUUUCUUCUGUGCCUGGAGUGAGUGUCAUGUUGUUUCUGCACUGGCCCCUCCACCUCUGAUAGACCCCUUUGCUCAAGCGUCUGGGAAAAGCGGGUAGAGCUGCAGUGAUGGGCUGAAGAGGAAGAGGUGGAGUGGGGGGGCAGGAGAACAAGCAACCCCACACAGCCCAGACCCAGACCCAGAGGCUGUGCAGGAAUCCAGUGCAUGUGGAGAUCUGAACCCAGGGCCGACAGCUAGUUCUGCCACAGCUAGUCACCUUAAGACUUGGAGCCACGAGCCGAGAGCUUCAGGAUCUGUCCGAGUCCAUACCCCAAUGGGAGACCUCCACCAGCUGCGUGUGACCGCUCAGCUAGCACCGAGAGGCAUCGUGUCAGCAGGGACAGUGGCGUGAAAAGACAGUGGCUGGAAAAAUACAUUAAAAACAUUCAAAAUUAGCCACGGCAAGCUGCGCUUCAUUAUCAG